rnacentral:rRNA from 1 species
UACGUAGGGGGCAAGCGUUGUCCGGAUUUAUUGGGCGUAAAGAGCGUGUAGGCGGCCAAGCAGGUCCGCUGUGAAAACUCGAGGCUCAACCUCGAGAGGUCGGUGGAAACCGUUUGGCUAGAGUCCGGAAGAGGAGAGUGGAAUUCCCAGUGUCGCGGUGAAAUGCGUAGAUAUUGGGAGGAACACCAGUGGCGAAGGCGGCUCACUGGACCGGUACUGACGCUGAGGCGCGAAAGCGUGGGGAGCAAACGGG